GUGCCAGCCGCCGCGGUAAUACAGAGGGUGCAAGCGUUAAUCGGAUUUACUGGGCGUAAAGCGCGCGUAGGCGGCUAAUUAAGUCAAAUGUGAAAUCCCCGAGCUUAACUUGGGAAUUGCAUUCGAUACUGGUUAGCUAGAGUGUGGGAGAGGAUGGUAGAAUUCCAGGCGUAGCGGUGAAAUGCGUAGAGAUCUGGAGGAAUACCGAUGGCGAAGGCAGCCAUCUGGCCUAACACUGACGCUGAGUGCGAAAGCAGUGGGGA
rnacentral:rRNA from 1 species